CUCUGUAAAGGAGAGCUGGUUACAGGGGCCAGUGGCAGCAUUCCCUGCUAGCAGAGGGCAUCAUUGUCUUAGGCACUAAGCAGGCACCCAGUCUACUGCCUUACAUUUUCAUGCAGAGCACCAGGAACUUGGAGAAGAAGAUGAUGUCUGAGAACUGGAGCCUUGCUGAGUAACUAAUGACAGCCUAAAUACAUAUUACAGUUGUGGUCAUUCUCAAAAUUAGUAUCAAAUUUUGUGAAAUAAAGUGCCACAGACUCUUUAUUGGGUAGAAUGUUACCUUCUCUGCAUCCCAGCCUGGCCCUCUUGGAAGAGGACAAUGAUAGGGGAUGCAUCCAUCAACUGUAAGCUCAUAAACAAUCCUCACUUCUGAAUGUUUAUUGUAGGGGUGAUGGUGGUAGGGGACUGCUUCACUUAAUGGAGUUUCUGGAGUUAAAUUUUUAUUCCUAAAUGAGAAAACUGAGGCAGGCACAGGGGGCUGAAUUGACUGGCACAAGUAUUUCUUUUACACACAGAAAAGCAGGUCUCCAACAUUCAGUUCAGAAUGUUUCCAAGAAGAACUACUUUCUUUGUAUCAGAUUUUGAACCUUCAGCAUGGAAUAAUCUUUGAUCUCAGUUCCCAGUGAGGGUGAAAUUUUACAUAAUCUCUGAGAUUAACGGUAGGAAGUCACAGGAGCAGCAGACUUACUACAGAAAUUCUCUGCUUGCCAGACAGUAAACUACCAAAUGUCUUACUGACUGCUUUGGAGACCAGGUGGUGGUGACAAGGUAGUUGUACCCAGUCUGCUGUGGCAUCAUAUUUUGGGUCUUGAACAGUUUAGAAAGGCACAGGUAAAUUAUGGAGUAAGGAAAGGCCUCCACCUCUGCUCACAUGGCAUUAAUACUAUUCUCAAAAUAAUAUAUUUAUGGGAUUUUGGCCUCCCUUCACUGCUAAAUUCAGCUCUUGAGUCAAAAACUGAAUGUAAGUAUUUUUUGCCACCAUAACUGAAUUAAUAUCUUUACGGCUUAUGGGGAAGUUUUUUGCCAAUUCAGGAAUUAGUCUUCUAACUUUAUGUUUAGCAGUUAAUCCAUUUUUCAGCAUGGGUAUCCAGCAAAGAGCUGUCAAAUUAACCCUGUAUCUUAACUGCUGUUCAAGACCAAAACCAGAAGGAGCCACAGUUAACAGUAAAGAACAGAACAACCUAAUGCUGAGGGAAAACAAGAAGUCUGUAGCGCAAGUGGUUCUGUCCUUCAUGUUUAUUGGGAGAUAAGUUCAGCAGCAUUUCUGGUUUCCAGCUCAUACUGUGGGAGGGUGGAGCUCAGCAGUCGCUAGAAACAGGCAAUUUCAGAUGACAGAACGCUGUCUGUAAAGUUGUAAAAGGUACCCAUGAAAGUCUACAGUACAAAGUCCUAUUUUGGAUAGCUAACAGAAGAUACUUUGGUUUUAUCAUUGCUGAUCUUCAGUUUUGUCUGAUUUUUUUUGCAUGUUUCCAAUAGUCUUUCCUCAGGUAACACUGCCCUGGAGAACCUGGUCAGGUCCUGAGUGCUCAGCCUUGAGAGGCGGCAAGAGAAGGAAAGAAACAGUGAGAAGAAAAUCUAGAAAAUCUGAUUUUCUUACAGGGAUACAGGAGCAAACGGAUUAACAUACUGUGGAUCAGGUCUGGUGGCAGCAAUGGGAAUGAGGACAGCCAAUUUCCUAUUGUCUCAUCUUCCCCCUGCCCAUUGUUAUGGGGCAUCACAAAGCCCUCAGAUAUUUGUAUGUAUUAGGCUCCUUGAAAGAGCAGGGUAUGUCGAGCAGUCACGUCCCAUGCUCUUGGGAUGCUAUAUCCUCCUCCUGUGUGAAAACAAGAAGCUGCCUGAAGUUACACAGCAACGUUGUCUGACCUUUCAUAGCAGGAAAGGUUUCAGGUGCCAGAAAGUAACAAGGCAUGAGAACUUUUUCACUCAUAAUUAUAAGCCAUCAGUCUGGCUGAGACCGCUAGAGUCACAAGCUUAAAAUUUGCCUUAAGUACGUCCUUCUUCAGUGAAAAGCGGUAUUCCAAACACUACAUACUGGAGGAAGGGAUUAUUCCCUUAUGCUCUAUACUUCUAGUUAAAAGCUCUCUGCAAAACUCAGGGAGGGCUGGAGUGUGCUGUCUGUGAGUAAGCAAACCUUCCUGAGACACAAGACAAGGGUUGAAGACAUGCUGCAGCAACUCAGUGCUGACUGGAACUGAGUUGCUCAGGCCUGGACAUCUCAGAGACAACUGUCUUAGCCUGUGCUGGGGCCAAACCAGUGGCCUGCUGACAGGUCCUAAACUUGGACACACUGUGGCAGGUGUGCUGGCACAAAUCAGGACAUUCCACAUUUCAAACACAAAGAGGUGCCAAGGUACAUUGGCCACAGGAUCAAGCACAGUGUUUUAAUACAACAGAGCAAUGCAUCUGAACUUCAAAUGCACAGCAAGAGGUCUGCACAGGAGACUCAGUUAUUGAGGAUUACGAGUCCAGUUCAUGGUGUGGUAUCAGAUGACAUCUGUCCUUGGCCAUCAGCUCUGACCACUGACUGGACAGGGGGAAGAGACAACAAUUCAUACCAGCAGAGAACCCCAACACAACCUUCAGCACAGCGGAAUGUAGAGGUAAAUGGUAAUAUUCUAACCUGACUGGGAAUUGUCUCCUGUGUACUUAUCCUCACGGUGACUCUUGUAGAGCUGGAGAUAAGAGUAAAAUACAUAUGUAAGAAAAAAGAAUACAAAAAAACUUUAAACAGGCUGCAUUCAACACUGUCCAUAUCCAGCAUUUUCCACUCAGCUAUUUAUAAAAAAAAUGUUUGGCAAAGACUCUUCUUCAGGUGUAAUUAGAUGUAGAGAAAUAAUAUGAAAGCGAACAGAUAUUCCAUGCAGAAAACCACAGAUACAAGUGCUUUUAUGUACUGAAUUCCUGUUUAAUGCCUGUGUUUACAAGAGAACUCAUUUAGGUAGUGUUUUAAGUGCAAAUUGCAUAUGAACCUGAAAGAAUAAAAUAAAAAAAUCCUAUAAAAUUAUUUUUUGUGCUUUAAAAAUAAUUUUCUUAGAACUGUUAAAGCUAAUUUUGAAUGCAUCUUUUUAUGGAUAACUGAUAAACUGGACUUCAAAAAACUCAGUUAUAAAAACUACUCUCCAGGAAAUAAGGGGUAGAGGUAUGUGUUGUUCAUCAGACCUUUAUUUUCAAGUAGUUUUUAAUCAUUCUCAUGAAUGAAAAAUUAAACAUGAAAUCUUAAUUCUUUGUUCUUCUGAAACAUUUUUAGGUAGCUCCAACAGUAGGUAUUUCAAGCUUUCUUAGAAUUUAGAUAGGAUAUUUCCAUAUAUUAAAAUGUACAGCUAUUGCUUGGUCUGCAAUAACACAGAUUAAAUGUUCCUCUGCUUUUUCAUUCUUCUCAAAGAAGAAGAAAUUCUCAUUUUUCAUUCUUCUUUUCAUCCUUCUGUCCAGUUCAUGACAGUUUAAUACCUGCUAAUCACCUCACCCCUUUCCUUUGUUAUGUGUUUAGAAGAAAGUGUUUUGCUGUUGAUAGGAAAACUGACCAGAAAUGGCAUUUCCUCAAGUUAUUUCUUGAAAAUUGGUGUGUGAUGUUUUUAAGUAUAGAUAACGGAGUCAUGGAGAAAGACUAGAAAUAAUGCUUACCAGGAAUAAUGCUUACUUUUUUUUUGUAGUCACUAGAGAAGAUACACAUACCCUCUUACUUCACAUGUAUAAUUGUCAGUGCUUGACACUGUAGUUACAAAUUAUUCAGUACAUGUAAUAUUUAGGAGUCCAUUACUGUCAUAUGGUGAUUGGUUCCUCUGACCAAAUCCAUCACCUGCCUGUAGCAAAGCACUAGAUUGCAUGGAAGCAUGAAAUCCAUGGCUGCCACCUGUCAAUUAAAAGGAGAGUAUGACAAGGUUGCACUUGUGUGCUCUUACUGUCUGUAUCAGUUUGUGACUGUGCAUGCUGCAGGGUCCUCAUGGGGAUUAUUCAGGAAUGAAAGGAAAGGAAUUAUACUAAUUCCCUUUUCUGUCACUCUGUCAUUCUUGCACACCUUUCGUUUUUUCCUUCCUACUAUGGCAGGGAGAGACAUAGGGUGAAAGGAGAAGAGAAGAAAAUGGAAAGGAAUAAAAACCCACAAAAUUCAGGCAUGGCUUUUUGUAAUGAAUUAAAAACAAACAAAAAAAACCCAAAAAACAAACAAACAAAAAAAAACAACAAAAAAAAACAAGAAAGGGAAACCCUUUGCUCAUGCUCCAUAUAAAUCUUGUUCAGGAGAGUGUAAGAACUGACUCUUCAUCCAAAAAAAUUUUUAAAGCUUGAACACUUCUAUUGUAACCAUGUAGAAACUCUCGGAGAAAUAAUCUCAUCCAAACAGAGUAAGGUUAAGGAAAUCUCAUCAGAUAUGGUACACUGACACAAGGCACCUGAACUGCUUGUUCUGCCCUCAUCCUGGAGCUUCUCUCAAAGCCAAUGGAUAUAUCUCUGUCUACUGCACAACUGGCAGAAACAUAGGCACAGUCCUCCAAGUGCUUUACUAAAAAAAUAAACCACAUUUCUGUUCUGAAUACUUCUCUUCCCCUUCUGCAGGCAUGUCCUGAAAGAGCCAUGUAAGGUAAGUUAUGAGGGCAGUUACACAGUUAAUCUUGGGUCAAUAUGUUCUUUAAAGAAACAACACCUCUCUUGUAAAUUUAUGAAUGUGAAAACACUAGACUCUACCCUGCCAGGUCUCAAAUUGACAAUGGCAGCAUUAAUAAUUACCUAGGCUCAGCACAUGGGAAUAAUCACAUGAAAGUCACUCCCCAUUCAUAAAUCUUCACUGUAAGAAUGCUUAAUGCUCUUUUAGAUAUUUUUUUUUCCAUGCAUAAAUUUAACAUGCUAGGUCUUUCUAUGUGAUAAAUCUGGCACGGAAAUACAAGAAGGUUCCAGUAGUCUCUGAUAUCCCUUACAAAGGAUGUUGGUACUGUCAAAAAAUACAUGUUUUUUGAGGUGAAGCAGUGUGUAAUGAUGUAAAAAUGUUUUGAAGUCAAUAUAUACUGUCUGAAUGCUGAGAUCAAGCUGUUUAGAAUUAUAUUGAUUAAAUGAAACAUCAGACAUUUGACAUCAAAAUUUGAAUUAUGACAGCUUUUACUGGUCUGUAACUUAAGUAAAUAUUUAAUUUGAUUUCCUUUUCUCCUUCCAUAAAGAUUUAUCUGUAGCUUGAAAAGGAACCUAUUUUUUUUAGUCUAAGGAAAAGUUCUACUGCUGCAAGUAUUAAUGUAUGGAUAUUAGGAAAACUGCAAUGUCCAGGAUCUCCAACAGGCAUGAGCUAUUUCUGUGACAGAAGUGAAACAGAUCAAUUACAUAGUUCUAUCAAAUACACCUUGUUUUUUCCCCAAGGGACCUAAAAUCUCCAUAGACCAUACUUUCUGUUAGGCUGCAGUCUUUAACCGUUGUGGCAGACUUCUGUAUCUAUCUGUAUCUGUAUCUGUGGAGAACCUUUGGAAAGCCAUGUUCCCUGGGAUCACCAAAUGUGUAAAUCUUCCCAGGUCUACAGUGCUUAAUUUACCAGUAGCUUCUUAUGAACUAGUAUUAAGAAGACAAGAAUGGGUUAUACUUUCCAGCAGUACAGGAGAAUAUGAAUGUUGCCUUGGAAACAAGUCCUUGUUUCUUAAUUUCCCUUUUUCUCUCUAGCAAGGAGAGGUUUAUGGGGCACGUGAAGUUCCAGGGCAGCACGGCAGCCUGGGCUGCAGCACCCAUGAAAUAGAGGAGUGAGUACAAGAUCCUCGGGGCAUUGAGGAGGUCACAGUAAACUCAAUACCACUGACCUCAGGAGAGCAGACGGGCCCAAGAAACUUGGUUAGUAUUCAAGAUCACCUCUUCCAAGCUCAGGAAUGAUGCUUCACAACAAAGAGAAGUCAUAAAAAUGCCAGAAGGCCUGUGUGGCAGAAAUGCCAGGAGGCCUGUGUGGAUGAACAAAGAACUUAGUGACAGACGCAAACAAAAGAAAGAAGACUACAGAGAGUGGAAAAAAUGACUGGUUGCCUGGGAAUAAUACAGAGAAUGUCUGAAGAGCAGGAAUCAUGUUAGGAAAGCUAAAGCCUGAUAGAAUUAAAUCUGGCUAGGGACAUUAAGGACAACAAGAAAAGCUUCUGUAGGUACCUUGGUGAAUUAAAGAAAGAUUAGGGAAAACGUGGUCCCUCUCUGGAAGGAAACAGAAGAUGUGGUUACCUGGGACACAUAGAGGGCUGAAGUACUCUCUGACUCUUUUGCCUUGGUCUUCACUGGCAAGUGUUCCAACUACAUGCACUUCCCUAGUCACAGGAGGUAAAGGCAGGGACUGGGAAAAUGAAAACCACCCACUGUAGGAGAAGAUCAGGUUUGGGAACAUCCAAGGAACUUGAAGGUGCACAAGAUUACAGGACGUGAUCAGCAUUUGUGAGUCCUUAGGGAGUGGUGGAGGAAGUGGCUAAACUGCUAUCUAUCAGAUUUGAGUAGUCAUAGCAGUCCAGUGAAGUUUCCAGUGACUGGAAAUGGGGAAACUUAUUUAACUGUAAUUUCUAAAGAUUAGAAAAGAAAAAGGCAAACCCAGGGAAUGGCAGGCCAGUCUCAUCUCUGUGCCCUGCAAUCCAUGGAGCAGAUUCUCCUGCAAACUAUGCUAAGGCAUAUGGAAAAUAAGAAGAUAAUUGCUAACAACAAGGAGCUUUACUAAGGGCAAAUCAUGCCUGACAUAUUUGAGAAUGCCAUCUAACUGGACCUCUGCAAGGCAUUUGAUGCUUCCAUGCACACCCCUGACUCUACAGUGGAGAGACCUGGAUUUGGCAAGUGGAUCACUCGGUGGAUACGGAAUUGCCUGAAUGCUCCUGCUCAAAGAGUUGUGGCCAAUGGUCAGGAGUCUGGGUGGAGAGGAGUGACGAGUGCUGCUCCUUGGGGGUCUGCACGAGGGCCAGGAUUAUGUAACAUCUUUGUCAGGGACACAGACAGUGGGACCAGGGGCAUCAUCAGCAGUUGGCUGAUGACACCAAGCUUUGUGGUGUCACAACUGCUGAGAGGCCACAGCACGCUGGAGGGGCCUCCAGCAUAACACACGAACCUGCUGGAGCAGAUCCAGAGAAGGGCCACAGAACUGACCAGAGAGCUGUAGCACCUUUCUUAUUGUAAAAAGGAUGAGAGAGUUGGGGUUGUUCAGUUUGCAGAAGAGAAGACUGGGAAAUCUUUUAGCACCUUCCAAUUACUAAAGGGGCCUACAAGAAAAUAAAACACAAUUUUACAAGGGUGUAUAUAGUGAUAGGACAAGAGGCAAGGGUUUCAAACUGAAAGAGAGUAGGUUUCAACUAGCUAUCAGGAAGAAAUUCUUUACUGUGAGGGUGGUGAGACACUGGAACAGGUUCCCCAGAAGAGUUGUGGAUGCCUGGUCCCUGGAAAUUCAAGGCCAGGUUGGGUGGGGCUUUGAACAGCCUGGUCUAGUGGAUCCUGCCUGUGACAAGGGGGCUGGAACUAGGUGAUCUUUAAGGUGCCUUUCCAGUCAAAUCAAUCUGUGAUUGUAUGAUUCUUACUGGUUUAAGCAGUCCAAUCUACAGGGCAAAGAAGGACAAAAAAAUUUACUUUUUUCUUAUAUUUCUACUGCUAUUUUUUACAUAUGAUACAAGUUUGCAAUAUUUAUUAUCUUGCAUUAAGAAUAUCAUAUAUAUACACCUCCUUGUACCAGUCUUUCAGCUGUGUGUAUAAUAUAGAAAAAGCCAUUAAAUUAUGUCUUACUUUCAAAUCAACAUCAAAGCAUCUAUAAAUGAAACAACAGUUAUGAAGUUUAAACAAUGAAUUAAAAAUACAUGAAACUUUAUCACUGCUUUUAUAGAACUCUGUUACACUCUAGCCUGAGCAUUUUAAAACAUCCUGCAACUGUAAAUGGUAUUUUGCUGCUAAUACUAAAAUACAUGUUUAAGUUCAAAGAUGAA